rnacentral:rRNA from 1 species
GACGAACGCUGGCGGCGUGCUUAACACAUGCAAGUCGAACGGAAAGGCCCUGCUUUUGUGGGGUGCUCGAGUGGCGAACGGGUGAGUAACACGUGAGUAACCUGCCCUUGACUUUGGGAUAACUUCAGGAAACUGGGGCUAAUACCGGAUAGGAGCUCCUGCUGCAUGGUGGGGGUUGGAAAGUUUCGGCGGUUGGGGAUGGACUCGCGGCUUAUCAGCUUGUUGGUGGGGUAGUGGCUUACCAAGGCUUUGACGGGUAGCCGGCCUGAGAGGGUGACCGGCCACAUUGGGACUGAGAUACGGCCCAGACUCCUAUGGGAGGCAGCAGUGGGGAAUAUUGCACAAUGGGCGGGAGCCUGAUGCAGCAACGCCGCGUGCGGGAUGACGGCCUUCGGGCUGUAAACCGCUUUCGCCUGUGACGAAGCGUGAGUGACGGUAAUGGGUAAAGAAGCACCGGCUAACUACGUG